UGCUUCUCCUGGGCUGGUUGAGUUUACAGGAAAAGGUCCAGGAUGGGAGUUCUUUGGAGGGGGAAUUGAUGGUUCUUGGUAAAAGAACGAUCUUUUUUUCUCUGGCUUUUGGUUGCAAUAAAUCAAGCUAGAAAAAUAAGUCUUUUUACUUGUAAACACCAUUUUAUUUUGUGUUCGGAUUGCAUAUGAGUUCAUCUGGACACCAUAUGCUAUUUUGCUGGACCGAAUAAAUUGUUUUGGUUAACUGAUGCUCAUAUCAGGUGUAUGCUGGUUGCU
rnacentral:lncRNA from 1 species